rnacentral:rRNA from 1 species
CCUACGGGAGGCAGCAGUGGGGGAUAUUGGUCAAUGGGCGGAACCCUGAUCCAGCGACGCCGCGUGAGUGAAGAAGUUUUUCGGUAUGUAAAGCUCUGUUUGCAGGGAAGAAAGAUAUGACGGUACCUGACCACCAAGCCUCCGCUAACUACGUGCCAGCAGCCUCUGUAAUACGUAGGGGGCAAUCGUUAUCCGGAUUUACUGGGUGUCAAGGGUGCGUAGACGGUUAAGUAAGGCUGGAGUGAAAGGCCGGGGCCCAACCCCGGGAGUGCUCUGGAAACUAGUGAACUGGAGUGCAGGAGAGGUAGGCGGAAGUCGUAGUGUAGCGGUGAAAUGCGUAGAUAUUGGGAGGAACACCAGUGGCGAAGGCGGCAUACUGGACUGUAACUGACGUUGAGGCACGAAAGCGUGGGGAGCGAACAGGAUUAGAUACCCGAGUAGUC